UCUCCUGGAAACGGGUGGUAAUGCCGGAUGCUCCAGUUGAUCGCAUGGUCUUCUGGGAAAGCUUUCGCGGUAUGGGAUGGGGUCGCGUCCUAUCAGCUUGACGGCGGGGUAACGGCCCACCGUGGCUUCGACGGGUAGCCGGCCUGAGAGGGCGACCGGCCACAUUGGGACUGAGAUACGGCCCAGACUCCUACGGGAGGCAGCAGUGGGGAAUAUUGCACAAUGGGCGCAAGCCUGAUGCAGCGACGCCGCGUGAGGGAUGGAGGCCUUCGGGUUGUAAACCUCUUUUAUCGGGGAGCAAGCGAGAGUGAGUUUACCCGUUGAAUAAGCACCGGCUAACUACGUGCCAGCAGCCGCGGUAAUACGUAGGGUGCAAGCGUUAUCCGGAAUUAUUGGGCGUAAAGGGCUCGUAGGCGGUUCGUCGCGUCCGGUGUGAAAGUCCAUCGCUUAACGGUGGAUCCGCGCCGGGUACGGGCGGGCUUGAGUGCGGUAGGGGAGACUGGAAUUCCCGGUGUGACGGUGGAAUGUGUAGAUAUCGGGAAGAACACCAAA
rnacentral:rRNA from 1 species